rnacentral:rRNA from 1 species
AGAGUUUGAUCAUGGCUCAGGACGAACGCUGGCGGCGUGCUUAACACAUGCAAGUGGUGCGACGAACCAGGGCUUGCCCUGGGGCAAAGCCGCGAACGGGUGAGUAACACGUGGGUAAUCUGCCCCGAUGACCGGGACAACCCGAGGAAACUCGGGCUAAUACCGGAUGUUGUGCACAGGCGUAAGCCUGUUCACUAAAGGAAGCUUCGGCCUCCGCAUUGGGAGGAGCCCGCGGCCCAUUAGCUUGUUGGUGGGGUAACGGCCUACCAAGGCAACGAUGGGUAGCUGGUCUGAGAGGACGAUCAGCCACACUGGGACUGAGACACGGCCCAGACUCCUACGGGAGGCAGCAGUGGGGAAUCUUGCGCAAUGCGCGAAAGCGUGACGCAGCAACGCCGCGUGGGGGAAGACGGCCUUCGGGUUGUAAACCCCUUUCAGGAGGGACGAAGGCUCACCGGUGAAUAGCCGUGUGAGUUGACGGUACCUCCACAAGAAGCUCCGGCUAACUACGUGCCAGCAGCCGCGGUAAUACGUAGGGAGCAAGCGUUGUCCGGAAUCAUUGGGCGUAAAGCGCGCGUAGGUGGCCCUGUAAGUCCGCUGUGAAAGUCAAAGGCUCAACCUUUGAAAGCCGGUGGAUACUGUAGGGCUAGAGUACGGAAGAGGCGAGUGGAAUUCCUGGUGUAGCGGUGGAAUGCGCAGA